UUUAUACCGCUCGAAUCAUUAUAAGUACCAAAUAGAAAAAUUUGAAGCUGAAAUCUGUCAAAACUCAAAAAUUUAAACUAGUGGUUCUAAUCUCGUUGAUAUUAAAUGGCAUAAUGAAUAAAAACGUAAUUUUGGGAAUAUUCGUGCAACGAUGUGAGUUUCCUAAUGUAUUUUCAGUGUCUGCGCUGCAUGUUCUUGAGAGUGUUAAGAGAAAUUAAAGGAAUCAACGUAAACUAUCGAAUUGGCAUUUGU
rnacentral:lncRNA from 1 species